rnacentral:rRNA from 1 species
UACGGAGGGCGCGAGCGUUAAUCGGAAUUACUGGGCGUAAAGCGCGCGUAGGCUGUUGUGUAAGUUGGGGGUGAAAUCCCACGGCUCAACCGUGGAACAGCCCUUGAUACUGCGCGACUUGAAUCCGGGAGAGGGUGGCGGAAUUCCAGGUGUAGGAGUGAGAUCCGUAGAUAUCUGGAGGAACAUCAGUGGCGAAGGCGGCCACCUGGACCGGUAUUAACGCUGAGGCGCGAAAGCGUGGGGAGCAAACAGG